rnacentral:rRNA from 1 species
CGGGUGCGGAACACGUACAGAACCUUCCUUUAAGCGGGGGAUAGCCCAUAGAAAUGUGGAUUAAUACCCCAUAGUAAUAUUAACUGGCAUCAGUUGGUAUUUAAAGAUUUAUCACUUAAAGAUGGCUGUGCGGCUGAUUAGGUAGUUGGUGUGGGUAACGGCCCACCAAGCCAUCGAUCAGUAACUGGUGUGAGAGCACGACCAGUCACACGGGCACUGAGACACGGGCCCG